rnacentral:rRNA from 1 species
GGCUCAGGACGAACGCUGGCGGCGUGCUUAACACAUGCAAGUCGAACGAUGAAGCCUUCGGGUGGAUUAGUGGCGAACGGGUGAGUAACACGUGGGUGACCUGCCCUGCACUUUGGGAUAAGCCUGGGAAACUGGGUCUAAUACCGGAUAGGACUACAGGAUGCAUGUCUUGUGGUGGAAAGCUUUUGCGGUGUGGGAUGGGCCCGCGGCCUAUCAGCUUGUUGGUGGGGUGAUGGCCUACCAAGGCUUCGACGGGUAGCCGGCCUGAGAGGGUGUCCGGCCACACUGGGACUGAGAUACGGCCCAGACUCCUACGGGAGGCAGCAGUGGGGAAUAUUGCACAAUGGGCGCAAGCCUGAUGCAGCGACGCCGCGUGGGGGAUGACGGCCUUCGGGUUGUAAACCUCUUUCAGCACAGACGAAGCGCAAGUGACGGUAUGUGCAGAAGAAGCACCGGCCAACUACGUGCCAGCAGCCGCGGUAAUACGUAGGGUGCGAGCGUUGUCCGGAAUUACUGGGCGUAAAGAGCUUGUAGGUGGUUUGUCGCGUUGUUCGUGAAAACCGGGGGCUUAACUCUCGGCGUGCGGGCGAUACGGGCAGACUUGAGUACUGCAGGGGAGACUGGAAUUCCUGGUGUAGCGGUGGAAUGCGCAGAUAUCAGGAGGAACACCGGUGGCGAAGGCGGGUCUCUGGGCAGUAACUGACGCUGAGAAGCGAAAGCGUGGGGAGCGAACAGGAUUAGAUACCCUGGUAGUCCACGCCGUAAACGGUGGGUACUAGGUGUGGGUUUCCUUCCUUGGGAUCCGUGCCGUAGCUAACGCAUUAAGUACCCCGCCUGGGGAGUACCGCCGCAAGGCUAAA